CCUGAGUAUCAUGGAUACUUUGAGUUCUAUUAUUUAAUGAAUCAUUGUCUACUUGAGUCAGAGUCUAGACUCUGGCUGCUCUUUGCCACCUGGUCCUCCAACCACCUUGUGAGGCUUCUGUGAUAGCUUUCCACUGCUCCAGUGCGUGCUUGUGGCGUGAUAGAAUUUUAGAUAUGGAUGGACCCAGGGAAUCUUCUGUUCUCCUCCAGUUUCCAAGAGGGAAUUCUGAGGCAUCAAGAAGGAGAUCUGUCUGUGACUCCAGCCUUCCACUCCUCCACAAGAAGGUCUAAG